CAAUUGUAGGAAUGAGGAAGUCCUCAGGCCUUAAUUUUUUUUUUAAGAUUUUAAUUAUUUAUUAAAUUAUUGAUUUUUAUUAGUUGGCCAAAGCAUUCUACCUGUUUAUUCUUAACAUUCUACCUGUUUAUUCUUCUAGGCUAGGGCUGGAGAUCCAGUUUUCAUUUGACUCUCUGCCUGCACAAACAGUGCUACAGAGGCAUUCUCCUGCAUAUUCUCCUGUGGACCAUGUGAAAAUUUGCCUUGGAGGAAAGAGUGCCGGCAGCUUGCUUGACGUCACCAUGCUGAAGAGCCUGGAUGUAAUUCUCUGGUAAGCCUGUGUGAGCCCCGCAUCGCAUCGGGCUCUCUGCUCAGCCGGGAGCCUGCUUCCCUUCCUCUCUCUCUGUCUACCUCUCUGCCUGCUUGUGAUCACUCUCUGCCAA
rnacentral:lncRNA from 1 species